GGUUCGAUCCUGGCUCAGAUUGAACGCUGGCGGGAUGCUUUACACAUGCAAGUCGAACGGCAGCACGGACUUCGGUCUGGUGGCGAGUGGCGAACGGGUGAGUAAUGUAUCGGAACGUGCCCUAGUAGCGGGGAUAACUAAGAAAGCGUAGCUAAUACCGCAUACGCCCUUCGAAGGAAAGCGGGGGACCUUCGGGCCUCGCACUAUUAAACGGCCGAUAUCGGGUUAGCUAGUUGGUGGGGUAACGGCUCCUGGGCGACGAUCCGUAGCUGGUUUGAAGGAACGACCAACCACACUGGGACUGAACACGGCCCAGACUCCUACGGGAGGCAGCAGUGGGGAAUUUUGGACAAUGGGGGAAACCCUGAUCCAGCCAUCCCGCGUGUGCGAUGAAGGCCUUCCGGGUUGUAAAGCACUUUUGGCAGGAAAGAAACGGCACGGGAUAAUACCCGUGCAACUGACGGUACCUGCAGAAUAAGCACCGGCUAACUACGUGCCAGCAGCCGCGGUAAUACGUAAGUGCAAGCGUUAAUCGGAAUUACUGGGCGUAAAGCGUGCGCAGGCGGUUCGGAAAGAAAGAUCUUAAAUCCCAGAGCUUAACUUUGGAACUGCAUUUUUAACUACCGAGCUAGAGUGUGUCAGAGGGAGGUGGAAUUCCGCGUGUAGCAGUGAAAUGCGUAGACAUGCGGAGGAACACCGAUGGCGAAGGCAGCCUCCUGGGAUAGCUUGCACUGACGCUCUGCAGCGUGGGGAGCAAACAGGAUUAGAUGCCCUGGUAGUCCACGCCCUAAACGAUGUCAACUAGCUGUUGAGGCCUUCGGGCCUUGGUAGCGCAGCUAACAUGAAGUUGACCGCCUGGGGUACGGUCGCAAGAUUAAAACUCAAAGGAAUUGACGGGGACCCGCACAAGCGGUGGAUGAUGUGGAUUAAUUCGAUGCAACGCGAAAACCUUACCUACCCUUGACAUGUCUGGAAUCCCGAAGAGAUUUGGGAGUGCUCGCAAGAGAACCGGAACACAGGUGCUGCAUGGCUGUCGUCAGCUCGUGUCGUGAGAUGUUGGGUUAAGUCCCGCAACAGAGCGCAACCCUUGUCAUUAGUUGCUACGAAGGGCACUCUGUGAGACUGCCAUUGACAAACCGGAGGAAGGUGAGGAUGACGUCAAAUCCUCAUGGCCCUUAUGGGUAGGGCUUCACACGUCAUACCGAUGGUCGGGACAGAGGGUCGCCAACCCGCGAGAGGGCAAUCCGAGGCUUCCGAUCAUAGUCCGGAUCACAGUCUGCAACUCGACUGCGGCUGAAGUCGGAAUCGCUGGUAAUCGCGGAUCAGCAUGUCGCGGUGAAUACGUUCCCGGGUCUUGUACACCACCGCCCGUCACACCAUGGGAGUGGGUUUACCAGAAGUAGUUAAGCCUAACCAUGGAGGCGAUUACGACGGGAUUCAUGACUGGGGUGAAGGAAGUCGUAACAAGGUAA
rnacentral:rRNA from 1 species